UACUUCUUCCUUUCUAACAGAUAGUUUUGAACACAAUUUAAUGUUUUUCUUGUAGACUUAGGGUUUAAUCACAGACCACCUUCACUGUAUUGUCUUUGCUGCCUAGCAUUUGGCUGUAACCACAUUUCAUACUUAUCACAAGAGCUGUACAUUGAAACUAUAAAGUAGAUCUUGCUGUGGACCAGGAACCCAGGUAGCCAAGCUCAUUAGGAAUCAGAAAUGAAAUAAUGCCAAAUAAGUUCUAGUGGGAAUCUUAAGUAUGUGACUCUUAACAACAAUUUGAAGGUGCAGGUGGACUUCUUUUAUGCAUUUCUAGGUUACAAUACAUAUUCUGGAGGACUAAGGUUGUUGACAAUCUGACCAAAUAAAAGCAGUACUAUUUCACAGCUAUACAGAAUCAAAUCUUUGUAUUUAUUGCACGUUAAUAACCAAGAUAUAUGAUACUCAGUUAUCAAAUGAGGGAAAACAACACCAAAAUCAAAUUUCAAAACUCCUGUGUGUAGACAUCUACUCCACAACUAGUGAUCAAGUGAAUAAAUUUAAAAUACAUCCAAAUACACAUUGUAUUAAAAAGCUAUGCAUGCGGCAAUGAGUCAAUAACCAAGGUGACUUUUGUUUGUUCACAGGCAUUAUGUAUAGCCUCUCACACGUCACUAAUACUCUUACAAAUAUAAUACAGUCCUCUCUGUGACAUACAGCAGGCCAUGUUGUGGUCAACUGAAAACAAUAAAAAAGAAAGGCUGUUCUACUGUCCAUUUCCACUAGUGUUAAACAAUCAAAUGUCAGGGUGUUUUUACUCCCAGAAGGAGUUAAGCUAAAUCAGAGAAUGUGUAUAUAAUAUGAGGGCAACAGUUUACUUCAGCUUUGCCUUCAGAUGUAGAUAUUUAAGUCUGUAGAAAGAAGCACUAGGUUGUUGAAAAUGUGAAAUAUAAUUGGCUAUUUAUCAGAAACCUUUUUCUGUGAUUAAAAACCAUGAGGAGCUCUAGAGGAACUAGAAUCCACAUGAACAUUGCAAUGAAAUGUGGCUUACAUUUAUCUACCUAGAGAAAAUGUAUUUUGAAAUGACAUGUAAAUUGACGUCAGAGAUUCAAGUCAAUUAAUGGGUUCUUACAGUUAAAAUCUUAAAUACCAGUGCUUCUUUAACUAUCUUUCGAAUCAGUUCACUUCUCUCUCUCCUCUAAUUUAAAUUUUUGCCGCAGCUGCCUUUGGUCUUGGUUGUAUCUUUCCUGUUUCAUUCUCAUUGCAGCCUGCAUGAACUCUCUAAAAUAGAGAUCUGCUGUGCUUAAGAUCCUUCAAUGGUUUCUCCCAAGAUAUUGGGAUCUCUGAAGACAAGGACUGUGUCCCCAGAAACUCAUCGACUCUCUGGUGUCUCUGGGUCUACGCACAUGAUGUCUCCAAGGCCAGGUAUCAUUAUUUAUCUAAAUCUCCGGAGCCAUUGAGGACCAAGAUCAUACUUGCUGAAUAAAUGCACGGAGCAGGAUCAGAGGAUAGACACAGAAUGGGCCAAGAAGAGAAAUAUUAUUCCUCAUAAGAGCUUGCUUGAUUGCAACCACCAAGGACAUCCACAAACCAGGGCAAGAAGGACCAUCCGUAAUUCUUUCCCAUAAAUAGUGACAGGAAGAAAAUAAACGCCCUAUUCUUCAAUGAUUUGAACCACCUCUGGAGCACAAACUUUCUCUAAAUUCACAGGGCAAAUAUCCAUCAUGGGGCAGGUAUCUAUGCUGCCAUGGAAAGUAACAUAAAAUGUACUAAGUCAUCACAGGGAGUUUUAAUUUUGUUUUUAAGGUCAAUUGCCAUGCUGGGGUAAAAAGCAUUGAUCCUUGCCUUUUAUCACCGGAAAAAUUCUUCACCAGUACUUUGUGAAAAUCUCGCCUCAUCAGGGCUGCCAAGGUCAAUGCAACCUAAGUAACCAAGCUGGGAGAUGCUUGCCUAAUUAUUAAAUAUUUAGCAAACAGUUUGUGACUAUUUAACUGUUUGCACCUGGCACCCUCUUUUCACUACGUGAGGCCUCCUGGCACCCUGACCUCUUCCCCCACCCCUACCCACUGCCCAGGCCGCCAGCACCCCUGGGGGGCAAAUACCGGGACCCAAGGGCAUUUCAAAGAAACAGCAGAGGUCACAUUCCAUUUCCUUUUUAUUAAAAAACAUACUUAAAAUGGGGGAGGAGGGCACAGAUCUAAGGUAAAAUCUCUUGCAGUUUUUUCAAGUUCGCAUGCACCGUUGAAAGUUCAUUAGUUAGGGAUUUAAAAGCAAAAAUGUUUCACACAACCAAUUAAACGCCAAGCUUUACAAACGCCUUGGUCUUUGGUUUUGGGAAUCUGUAAAAGUCCGCCUCCCCCCACCCGAGUUUUGCCCCUUUUAGAGCCCCUUUGUUGAAUUACGUGACUUUUCCCGAAGUCAUCAAACUUUGAAUUGCGUCUCUAAUUUUUUUUUUCAGGGCAAAAGCAAAUCAAGAAAUUAAACUUAAAAGUAGGCGACUCGGAGAGAAGUGGGGGAAAGCUCGCCCCAAAGCCAAGUUCCGCAGGACUAAAGCCCUCUUUGCGCGCGCGGGGCGGGG
rnacentral:lncRNA from 1 species